GUGUCAGCAGCCGCGGUAAUACGUAGGACCCAAGCGUUAUCCGGAUUGACUGGGCGUAAAGAGUUGCGUAGGCGGUUUGUUAAGCGAAUAGUGAAAUCUUGUGGCUCAACCAUAAGACUGCUAUUCGAACUGGCAAACUCGAGAAUGGGAGAGGUAUCUGGAAUUUCUAAUGUAGGGGUAAUAUCCGCAGAUAUUAGAAGGAACACCAAUGGCGUAGGCAGGAUACUGGCCCAUUUCUGACGCUAAGGCACGAAAGCGUGGGGAGCGAACCGGAUUAGAAACCCCCGUAGUCC
rnacentral:rRNA from 1 species